AAGCCGACUAAUCAAGUCGGGACUCUCAACAUCCCCACGAAUAAGCUUACAAAUAAAGACUGUUCCAAGCAUAGUUCUACGGUUAGCUAGGGAUGGUAAAUUAAUUAAAAGUAGUCUACUGGAAUAAGGAGGUAAUAUAUGGUUUGCAUCCCAAUUUAGGCGCCGCAAGGCAAAAAGUAAGAACUUUUUUUGGACCGAUUCAUUGCGGUCCGAGUGGACUGCGUAUUGGGGACUCCAAACCGGUGAUCCGUACUUCGAGAAUCGGACGGACUAACGAAACAUGUUCGAACAUGUUCUGUUCGAAAGUUCUCCCUUUAAACAUUGCCUGUUCGAACAUGUGUGUAGCUACUAUUAUCGCUCUCUCAGUCUCUUCCCGGGAAACGAAAGCUUUUGAGCUCUGCGGGAAGUAUGGUUGCAGAGCUGACACUUAAAGGGAUUGACGGAAGGGCUCCAACCAGGAGUGGGAGC
rnacentral:ncRNA from 1 species